rnacentral:misc_RNA from 1 species
AACGCACAUUGCGCCCCCUGGUAUUCCGGGGGGCAUGCCUGUCCGAGCGUCAUUGCUGCCCAUCAAGCACGGCUUGUGUGUUGGGUCCUCGUCCCCCCCCUUGGGGGGACGUGCCCGAAAGGCAGCGGCGGCACCGCGUCCGGUCCUCGAGCGUAUGGGGCUUUGUCACCCGCUCUGCAGGCCCGGCCGGCGCUGGCCGACGCGAAAGCAACCAUUUUUUUUUCUCCAGGUUGACCUCGGAUCAGGUAGGGAUACCCGCUGAACUUAA